rnacentral:rRNA from 1 species
UACGAAGGGGCUAGCGUUGCUCGGAAUCACUGGGCGUAAAGCGCACGUAGGCGGAUUGCUAAGUCAGGGGUGAAAUCCUGGAGCUCAACUCCAGAACUGCCUUUGAUACUGGCGACCUUGAGUCCGGGAGAGGUGAGUGGAACUGCGAGUGUAGAGGUGAAAUUCGUAGAUAUUCGCAAGAACACCAGUGGCGAAGGCGGACUCACUGGCCCGGUACUGACGCUGAGGUGCGAAAGCGUGGGGAG